rnacentral:rRNA from 1 species
GCGAACGCUGGCGGCAGGCCUAACACAUGCAAGUCGAACGGAUCCUUCGGGAUUAGUGGCGGACGGGUGAGUAACACGUGGGAACGUGCCUUUUGGUUCGGAAUAGCUCCUGGAAACGGGUGGUAAUGUCGAAUGUGCCCUUCGGGGGAAAGAUUUAUCGCCAUUAGAGCGGCCCGCGUCUGAUUAGCUAGUUGGUGAGGUAAAGGCUCACCAAGGCUACGAUCAGUAGCUGGUCUGAGAGGAUGAUCAGCCACACUGGGACUGAGACACGGCCCAGACUCCUACGGGAGGCAGCAGUGGGGAAUAUUGGACAAUGGGCGAAAGCCUGAUCCAGCAAUGCCGCGUGAGUGAUGAAGGCCUUAGGGUUGUAAAGCUCUUUUACCCGGGAUGAUAAUGACAGUACCGGGAGAAUAAGCUCCGGCUAACUCCGU